AGUGGGGUGGACGUGGACGGCAGAGAAGAGAGUUAAAGCAGCUCAAGAUAACGGGCCAGAGAGAGUGGGGAGUUCAGGGAGCUGCUGCGUGAGGGAGCCGGGCGGCCUCUUUCUGGCCCGGCAGUGGGACCGUCGCCGCCCGCCCCUCCUGUUGCAGCACCGCUACAGACGCGCUGACCCCGCGGCCGUGUCGCUAGGCGGCAUCCCGGAGCGGGUGGCGAGGUAUCUACCCGGGCGGGUUGAGGGCGGUGCCAGGGUUGGUCAAAGGUCUGCCCCGCCCCCUGCCUGGCCCGGCUUCGGGGUUGGGGAACAGCGCAGAGAGGUGGGUAGCUGGGAUCCCAGGCACGUGGAUCUCUGCGGCGGCGGCUGGACGCAGGCACUGGCACCCGGGAGCCGCGGCGACUGCACGCCGGGCGGAGAAGCGCAGCGCAGGGGCGAGAGGUGCGGUGCCUGGAGGGAACAGGGCGCUUGGAGAGGCCCGGGGAAGCGGCGGGCCGGACUGGCGCAGGUGCCGACUGGGCGCGGGGCAGGGGAGGGCGCUGUGGAGCUGCUGUCGCCCCGGGGCACCGUUGAGAGCCGGCGUGUAGCGCAUAACUGGGCGGCGUGAACGCGCCUGUGGGUCCGUGGUUGAACUUUGUCUCCACGGGAGCGUCGGUCUCGCAUCCCGCACGAGGCUGAGCUGAACCGAGAGAGCAGCAGCAGCCCCUAUCCCCUGUUUCUGGCCCCAGCUUCUCCAGUAAAGGCCUGGCUGCAGGUGAGCUCCAUGUCACUACAAAGAAGGGCAAACCAGAAUAUGGUUAUCAAAGUGGGUGGUACAGUUUACCAGAACAGUGUGAUCUGGGACACGGCAGGACCUAGAGUGCCCAGGCUAAAGUCCUGGAUUUUAUCCUGAAGGCAAUUGGGAGCCAUGGAAAUUUAUGAGCAGAGGAGUUUCAUGGUCAGGUGGCAUUUCAGAAAGAGCUCUCUGGCUGCAGAAUGGAGAAUGGAUCAAGUAGUGCCAAGUGCAGGAAGGUCAGGGCAUUUGUGAUGUCAGCAUUAGAACUGUCCCAGGAGUUGUUUAAACCCUAAUUGAGUCCUUGCCCGUUGGCCAAACACUUUUCCCUGAGCCUUCAGAUGCUCCUGCUGAGGAAUUUGGGGACCUGCAAUAGAUCUCAUUCCAGCUCUGCUCCCAGCUUGUUGGAUGACCAGUUCCUGCCCUGUUAGGCUCUAAAAGGAGGCCAGAACAAGUAAGAUCCUGCAUGGCAGAGUAUGUGGGGAGGCCCUGGCACAAAAGGUUUGUCACUCUUUCUCCUUUUCUCCCUGUCUUGGGCUUUCUUGGAGUCUGGUCAGAGGGAUUGGGUAUCCCAGUGGGUAACCCUCAGAAAUGACUACCAAACUUGGGCUGUGUAGUGAGGCUGUGGCUCCUCUGUUUCUGUCUCCCUCCCGCCCUGGAUGCAUAAGGUUCUAAGAAGGUGUGAGGGUAUCACCAGGGCCUCAUGAGUGACCCCAUGAGAGCUUUGACUUAAUGGCUAUAGUCUUUAGAGAGGCCAUUGUCCCUCUCUAGGUGUCAGUUCUGCCAUCUGUAAAUUGAGAAUGGUGAUCCUUGCUUCUUUGAGGGCAAAGUUGCUACAAGGAUUAAGAUAGUGACCAGGGAAAAGCUUUAUAAGCCUUAAACUGCAGUGCUUGGAGAAGGAAUGUGAUACUCAUAGACUUAAAUUCAUUUUGAAGACUGUAAGAGAACAUGGGUGCAAUAGCAAGGGAUUGUGCUGGCUAUUGAAAUUUGAUUACUGAAUGCCUUCCUCUCUACCCGCCCUGCAGAGAUGGCUUCACUAGGAAUGAUUUACAACAAUCCAUUUUGUCUUCCUAUAGACCUGUGAGGCAGGAAUUGGAUCUCCAUUUUGCAGAUCAGGAAAUAGAGGCAUGGAUUGUAUCUUGCCCAGGGUCACCAAGCUGAGGUGAAACCUGGGGCUCCAGUCCACCUGCCAGCUUAGCCCUCCCCACCUGAGACAGAGCCCUGUUGGGGUCGGGCCUGGUCCUCUGGCUUCCAGGCUGAGAGGAGCUUGAAUUCUGCCCUGGGAACCUGUGUUUGGGGCUUUCUUGUGGCCAGAUUACCCAACUGCUGAUAAGAUAACACCUGCCCAGACCUGCCCACAGGACCAGAGAUGCCUUGUUGAUCUGGUGAGGGGAGUGGGGGUUGCCCCUCAAGCCUUCUGCCCAAACUGCCUCUCCCCAGACUGCUUUCUGUAGGCCUGCUUGGUAUACCCUCUGGGCCACACCUUCCUCUUGGUUGCCCUUGGGUCCUCAGGCCUGUCCUGUCCUUAUUACUGGGCCCUGAUAGGAGUAGGCUGGCUGUGUGGGCCACUCUGACCUCUGUACUCAUCCAGAGGCCAGUUGUAGGACUAUGCUCGGCCAUCCCUGCUUUCUCUCUCUGUCCCCAUCACCCAGCUUGGGCUCAGGGCAGGUGCCAGUGGGUAUGUGGGAAAUGAGUGGCCAGGUGGGAGUAGGCAUGGAGUAGAAGGGGAGGCUUUGCUCCAUGGAGCGCCACAGUUGGUUCUGGAGCAGAGAAGUUCCUCCACCCCCAUCACCCCAUCUCUUAGGCCUGAGUCAUUCCUGGUCCAAGAUGAGUAGCAGGAGUUUCUGGUAGGAGUGUGAGCAGCCUGGGCCCCGCGGAACAACUCCUUGGCCCUCUGCCCUGGUACCUUGUCCCUCUCAUUUUAGCUCCUGGGUGAGAGGCCUGGGUGCUGGAGUGAGGGAAAGGGACCUCCCUCAGACUUCUGGGGCUCACGUGGCCUUUCCCUCCCCAGGUCUGAGGAGAGUCUCUGGGUGUGGACCUGGCUUCCUGAGCCCUCCUCCCUCUUGGCCCACCGGACAAACUCCUAAUCAUCUAUCAGUUUCCAGCUCAGAUGACCCCUCCUCUGCAGAAGCGCUCCCUGACCACCUCCCCCAGGCCAGCCUGACUGGGUACUCCUCAAAGGUCCUGCAGAGUGCGAUCUGAGUCUGAGUUCCUGAGAUCCCUCUGAGGCCAGGUGCACCAGAGCAUUGGCAA